UGAGCAAUCUGCCCUUCUCUUUGGAAUAAGCGUUGGAAACGACGUCUAAUGCCGAAUACGACCUCCUUUCGCAUGAUCGGAGGUGGAAAGCUCCGGCGGAGAAGGAUGAGCUCGCGCCUAUCAGCUAGUUGGUGAGGUAACGGCUCACCAAGGCAACGAUGCGUAGCCGACUGAGAGGUGAUCGGCCANAUUGGAACUGAGACACGGUCCAGACCUCUACGGGA
rnacentral:rRNA from 1 species